rnacentral:ncRNA from 1 species
UGACAGACGUUGAAGAGAAGAAGUAAAAGGAUUGUUUCUAUCCAGAGAGCUGCCGGACGGUGCGAGACAGCAGAAAGAUUCUUUGAACUGGUCUUGGAGUUCUUUUUGUGAGAGCCGUAUGAAAUAUGGAAGGUAGCAGAAAGCGGGUGGCGCCGUUAUGCGCACGACAAGAUGCACAGGGCAUUUUUUGAUCCUGUGAAGUAGAGUGGUACCGCGAAGAGCCAGACUGUUUCGUCUCUAUU